UUUCUGCUCCGGAAAUCAUUAGAAUCAGGAAAGAUUCUAAAACCUGUUUUUGUAAGAAAACUUUGUAAUGAGCGCCAUCUUUUAACAGAAUCCGCAAUUAUUCUCGCCUGGGAACCAGUUGGGUCAAUAGAACAUGCCAGAUUACAGACUGUGGACAAAUUUCUGGAACAAAUGGAUGAUGUCGCAAAUCAGGCUGGUCAAGUUCUAGUACAGAACUAGUACUGUUGUCAAGUUCUAGUACAGAACUAGUACUGUUGUCAAGUUCUAGUUCAGAACUAGUUCUACGCUAAGAAAUAGGCUGAUCUAGUGAAAAACUAGAACAAUAAAACUAGAAGUGAAGAUCUUGUUUGAAACUAUGACUCUGAUUCAGAUUCUGAUUCUUGAACUGGUUCUGGUUCUUGAUCUGGUUCUAGUUCUUAAUCUGUUUCUAGUUCGUGAUCUGGUUCUAUUUCUUGAUCUGUUUCUAGUUCUUGAUCUGGAUUUAGUUCUUGAUCUGGUUCUAGUUCUUGAUCUGGUUCUAGUUCUUUAUCUGAUUCUGGUUCUUGAUCUGGUUCUACUUCUUGAUCUGGUUCUAGUGCUUUAUCUGGUUCUAGUUCUUGAUCUGGUUCUAUUUCUUGAUCUGUUUCUAGUUCUUGAUCUGGUUUUAGUUCUUUAUCUGGUUCUAUAGUUCUUGAUCUGGUUCUAGUUCUUUAUCUGAUUCUGAUUCUUGAUCUUGUUCUAGUUCUUGAUCUGGUUCUAGCUCUUGAUCUGGUUCUAAUUCUUGAUAUGGUGUUAGUUCUUGAUCAGAUUCUAGUUCUUGAUCUAGUUCUAGUUUUUGAUCUUGUUCUAGUUCUUGAUCUGGUUCUAGCUCUUGAUCUGGUUCUAGUUUUUGAUAUGGUGUUAGUUCUUGAUCUGGUUCUAGUUCUUGAUCUGAUUCUAGUUCUUGAUAUGGUUCUAGUUCUUGAUCUGGUUCUAGUUCUUGAUCUGGUUCUAGUUCUUGAUCUGGUUCUAGUUCUUGAUCUGGUUCUAGGUCUGGUUUUGAUUCUAGUUCUGGCUCUGAUUCUAGUUCUGGUUCUGAUUCUAGCUCUGGUUUGAUUCUAGUUCUGGUUCUGAUUCUAGUUCUUGUUCUGAUUCUAGCUCUGGUUUUGAUUUUAUCUAUGAACUUGAUUCUUGUUCUGUAUCUGGUAUUUGUUCUAGUUCCCAGGAAGAAUUGUUUAGCACACUGCCGAGAUUUUAUUAUUAAUUUAUUCUGUAUGAAUCAUACACAAUACAUUCACUAUAAUAAACUAUUCAGAGUGUCA